AUUAGAGGCAUCGAUGUCUGAAACCAACAAGUGUCUUGCAAAGAAAGUAAAAAGAAACAUUGAUGUUGGUCAUCCUCUGAGUGAUGCUGAAGCCUGGUAUCUUAUUGAUCAAUAAUUGGUUCUAUUCAUGGGAAAAAGAAUGUUGUGUGGGAGAAACAGGAUCACAAUUCAAUAAAAUAAUCGCAAAGUCUUGGUAAUAAUUCGCGAGAAAUAUGCGAAUAGGGUUUCGCUGUGUUAAUGAGUUCGAAGAGGAUAUUGAUUGGGGUUUGGUGGGAAAAACUUGUCCGAAAUCUUCCAUCCUCUUCCAGCUUCUCUUAGCCACGCCCCGGGUAAUCUCCCCGGGGGUUUAAAUGCAAUUGAGGCAGUGUCUCGGCUUGUCUUGGUUGAUGGCAAGUGGAGGUACUGCCUUAAACUACUUACUACUACUUAAACAAUACAAAUAUUUAAAAAUAUAAAUUUUGUACUUGUUAAUUUCGUGCAUGUA